GGUACCGAGGUGCAGGGAGCGGGGGAGAUGCGGAGGGGGGAUGCGGUGGUCGGAUUGAUUGGGCGUAAAGAGCGUGGAUGCGGCCAGGUAGGUGGGUUGUGAAAACUGGAGGCUCAACCGUCAGACGUCGACCCAAACCCCCUGGCUAGAGUCCGGAAGAGGAGAGUGGAAUUCCUGGUGUAGCGGUGAAAUGCGCAGAUAUCAGGAAGAACACCCGUGGCGAAGGCGGCUCUCUGGGACGGUACUGACGCUGAGACGCGAAAGCGUGGGGAGCGAACAGGAUUAGAUACCCGAGUAGUC
rnacentral:rRNA from 1 species